AGUUGGUGGAGUGAUUUGUCUGGUUAAUUCCGUUAACGAACGAGACCUCGACCUACUAAAUAGUCAAAAUAUCUACGGAUAUCUAGACUUCUUAGAGGGACAAUCGGUGCGUAGCCUAUGGAAGUUCGAGGCAAUAACAGG
rnacentral:rRNA from 1 species